rnacentral:rRNA from 1 species
GGGCGAUGAUGCAUAGCCGAGUUGAGAGACUGAUCGGCCACAUUGGGACUGAGACACGGCCAAAACUACUACGGGGAGGCAGCAGUAGGAAUCUUCCACAAUGGACGAAAGUCUGAUGGAGCAACGCCGCGUGAGUGAAGAAGGUUUUCGGAUCGUAAAGCUCUGUUGUUGAUGAAGAAGGAUAGAGGUAGUAACUGGCCUUUAUUUGACGGUAAUCAACCAGAAGUCACGGCUAACUACGUGCCAGCAGCCGCGGUAAU